AACGAACGCUGGCGGCAGGCUUAACACAUGCAAGUCGAACGCGUGUAGCAAUACACGAGUGGCGCACGGGUGAGUAACGCGUGGAUAUCUGCCUUUUGGUUCGGAAUAACCCCGGGAAACUGGGGCUAAUCCCGGAUGGUUCCUUCGGGAUAAAGAUUUAUCGCCAAAAGAUGAGUCCGCGUCCGAUUAGCUAGUUGGUGAGGUAACGGCUCACCAAGGCGACGAUCGGUAGCUGGUCUGAGAGGACGAUCAGCCACACUGGGACUGAGACACGGCCCAGACUCCUACGGGAGGCAGCAGUGGGGAAGAUUGGACAAUGGGGGCAACCCUGAUCCAGCCAUGCCGCGUGAGUGAUGAAGGCCUUCGGGUUGUAAAGCUCUUUUGGCGGGGACGAUGAUGACGGUACCCGCAGAAUAAGCCCCGGCUAACUUCGUGCCAGCAGCCGCGGUAAAAC
rnacentral:rRNA from 1 species